GUAUACACGCCAAAGAUAUAAUGAACAGGAUUGGAACCGCCCAUCGUAUACAUAUGCAUCUCCGCGAUAUAACUGGCAUUCUCAACCUCGGUUCGUUGAACCCUCCAUCAAUUGGAAGAGGUCAACUCCUAGGUUCACAAUAUCUCAGAGCUUUGGCGCGACACGAGGAGGCGAACGAUACCGGAGCCUACCUCAGCCACCUCAGCGUCCAAUGGAGGUACGAGCAUGAUCUGCUCCACCAUGUAAAUUCCAGGGUCAGACUCGCAGUCAAAAUCGCAAUGGAUCGAUGUCUUGACUAAGACGAGAUAAAUUUACUCUCAAGCGACUUAUUAGGUCAAAAAGGGUUAAACCAAAUUCUUCACGGGCUAUAGUAUCAAACAAAGAAAAACAAAACAAUAAGGGUAAGGAAAGGAACACGGUUCGGUUCAAGGGAAUGUACGAAAGUAAAUCGGCUAGAGAUUCAGAUCCGAACUUAAAAUGUAUAGUUAACUGCCAACCGAUUAAUCUAACAAUUGACACGGGAGCCAAGGUCACACUCCUAUCCAAGACAUU
rnacentral:lncRNA from 1 species